UCAUCAGGUAAAGGUGUAUAUGGUUGGCUGUCAUCAGUCAUCAGAUAAAGGUGUAUAUGGUUGGCUGUGGUUGGCUGUCAUCAGUCAUCAGGUAAAGGUGUAUAUGGUUGGCUGUCAUCAGGUAAAGCUGUAUAUGAUUGGCUGUCAUCAGUCUUCAGAUAAAGAUGUAUAUGGUUGGCUGUCAUCAGGUAAAGCUGUAUAUGGUUGGCUGUCAUCAGUCAUCAGGUAAAGGUGUAUAUGGUUGGCUGUCAUCAGUCAUCAGGUAAAGAUGUAUAUGGUUGGCUGUCAUCAGGUAAAGCUGUAUAUGGUUGGCUGUCAUCAGUCAUCAGGUAAAGGUGUAUAUGGUUGGCUGUCAUCAGGUAAAGCUGUAUAUGAUUGGCUGUCAUCAGUCUUCAGAUAAAGCUAUAUAUGGUUGGCUGUCAUCAGUCAUCAGGUAAAGAUGUAUAUGGUUGGCUGUCAUCAGGUAAAGCUGUAUAUGGUUGGCUGUCAUCAGUCAUCAGGUAAAGGUGUAUAUGGUUGGCUGUCAUCAGUCAUCAGGUAAAGGUGUAUAUGGUUGGCUGUCAUCAGGUAAAGGUGUAUAUGGUUGGCUGUCAUCAGGUAAAGCUGUAUAUGGUUGGCUGUCAUCAGGUAAAGCUCUUAAUGGUUGGCUGUCAUCAGUCAUCAGGUAAAGCUGUAUAUGGUUGGCUGUCAUCAGGUAAAGGUGUAUAUGGUUGGUUGUCAUCAGUCAUCAGAUAAAGCUGUAUAUGGUUGGCUGUCAUCAGGUAAAGCUGUAUAUGGUUGGCUGUCAUCAGGUAAAGCUGUAUAUGGUUGGCUGUCAUCAGUCAUCAGGUAAAGCUGUAUAUGGUUGGCUGUCAUCAGUCAUCAGGUAAAGCUGUAUAUGGUCGGCUGUCAUCAGUCAUCAGGUAAAGCUGUAUAUGGUCGGCUGUCAUCAGUCAUCAGGUAAAGCUGUAUAUGGUCGGCUGUCAUCAGUCAUCAGGUAAAGCUAUAUAUGGUUGGCUGUCAUCAGUCAUCAGAUAAAGCUAUAUAUAGUUCAGUCUAAAUGAGACAAGCCUGUCAGUACAUGUGAUCAGUGUUUAGUUCUCUGGUUCAGUCUAAAUGAGACAAGCCUGUCAGUUCAUCAUGUGAUCAGUGUCUAGUUCUCUGGUUCAGUCUAAAUGAGACAAGCCUGUCAGUUCAUCAUGUGAUCAGUGUCUAGUUCUCUGGUUCAGUCUAAAUGAGACAAGCCUGUCAGUACAUGUGAUCAGUGUCUAGUUCUCUGGUUCAGUCUAAAUGAGACAAGCCUGUCAGUUCAUCAUGUGAUCAGUGUCUAGUUCUCUGGUUCAGUCUAAAUGAGACAAGCCUGUCAGUUCAUCAUGUGAUCAGUGUCUAGUUCUCUGGUUCAGUCUAAAUGAGACAAGCCUGUCAGUUCAUCAUGUGAUCAGUGUCUAGUUCUCUGGUUGUCUAAAUGAGACAAGCCUGUCAGUUCAUCAUGUGAUCAGUGUCUAGUUCUCUGGUUGUCUAAAUGAGACAAGCCUGUCAGUUCAUCAUGUGAUCAGUGUUUAGUUCUCUGGUUCAGUCUAAAUGAGACAAGCCUGUCAGUACAUGUGAUCAGUGUCUAGUUCUCUGGUUCAGUCUAAAUGAGACAAGCCUGUCAGUUCAUCAUGUGAUCAGUGUCUAGUUCUCUGGUUCAGUCUAAAUGAGACAAGCCUGUCAGUUCAUCAUGUGAUCAGUGUCUAGUUCUGGUUCAGUCUAAAAGGGGGACAAGGAAAACCAUGUUGAGAAACAUGACGGUCUGAAACAGAACCAGCAUUAACUGGUGUCAUUUGCUUAAGCACAUGAAAUAUGCAAAUGGUGUGAAUUAUACCCCACAGUGAGAGAAUAUCUUUAGCACAGAACACAAGCGUGUACAAAAAUAUAAACCAAAUGUGUGAUGAGAGGAUAUUACUGAGAUAAUACAUUAUUUUAUAGGGGAGACAAAUCCAUCCUCUGACUAGAAGCAGUAUGUCACAGCAGACUAGAAGUGGUCUAAAUUCUUCCAGACUGCACUAAACCGAGCCCUGCUACCUGCUCCUUGAACCCAGGAACUCCGGAAUCCUGUCCCACCUAUAGAACCCAGAGCAGGUUGGCGUCACAUUCCAUCAGCACGGCCCGUUACCUCUGACCCGAGGGACGUUUCUGGGCUGGACUUAGGACUUGGACCUGCUCUGAGAUUUGGCUCAGACCAUCUCGUUAUCCUUUCUACCAAAGUGUCCUACUCACUGUACUGGUAUGAAGGGACCAGAACCUAGUCCAAGCUGAGCUGCACAUCUUUAGACCACCCUUACGUUAACAUGUAUGCAGGCAUGACUGACACAAAGCUGUCUGCUAAACGGUAUAUUACAUGAUGUCCUCAGCACUCGUCUAAAUGAGAGGUGGUCACAGCGGUGAGGUUAUAACACAUUUAUCAUCACACCCACCAGCAGAGUCCAGUUUAGUUGACCAUAAAAUAACCCUUUAGAUGUCAGAGUCCCUUCCCAGUUUCACUACUGCUCUGCUAAGAAGCUUCCUUGUACAGAGAGUUUAGAUGCACAUCAGAUGUGUCUGCUUACCAGGAGCUGGUUAGAAGUUCUUUAAAGUCCUGGGAGUCUAAACUAUCCAAUAGAGAAGCACCAGUCAGUAGAGCUGUUAUCAGACAGGUUUCAGGACAGAUGAGCUCUCUCUAGGUUCAGUAGAGCUGUUAUCAGACAGGUUUCAGGACAGAUGAGCUCUCUCUAGGUUCAGUAGAGCUGUUAUCAGACAGGCUUCAGGACAGAUCCUCUCUCUCUAGGUUCAGUAGAGCUGUUAUCAGACAGGCUUCAGGACAGAUGCUCUCUCUCUAGGUUCAGUAGAGCUGUUAUCAGACAGGUUUCAGGACAGAUGAUCUCUCUCUAGGUUCAGUAGAGCAGUUAUCAGACAGGUCUGGUUUCAGGACAGAUGAUCUCUCUCUAGGUUCAGUAGAGCUGUUAUCAGACAGGUUUCAGGACAGAUGUUCUCUCUCUAGGUUCAGUAGAGCAGUUAUCAGACAGGUUUCAGGACAGAUGCUCUCUCUCUAGGUUCAGUAGAGCUGUUAUCAGACAGGUUUCAGGACAGAUGAUCUCUCUCUAGGUUCAGUAGAGCUGUUAUCAGACAGGUUUCAGGACAGAUGCUCUCUCUCUAGGUUCAGUAGAGCUGUUAUCAGACAGGUCUGGUUUCAGGACAGAUGUUCUCUCUCUAGGUUCAGCAGAGCUGUUAUCAGACAGGUUUCAGGACAGAUGUUCUCUCUCUAGGGUCAGUAGAGCUGUUAUCAGACAGGUCUGGUUUCAGGACAGAUGAUCUCUCUCUAGGUUCAGUAGAGCUGUUAUCAGACAGGUUUCAGGACAGACGAUCUCUCUCUAGGUUCAGUAGAGCUGUUAUCAGACAGAUUAUCUCUCUAGGUUCAGUAGAGCUGUUAUCAGACAGGUCUGGUUUCAGGACAGAUGCUCUCUCUCUAGGUUCAGUAGAGCUGUUAUCAGACAGGUCUGGUUUCAGGACAGAUCUCUCUCUAGGUUCAGUAGAGCUGUUAUCAGACAGGUCUGGUUUCAGGACAGAUGCUCUCUCUCUAGGUUCAGUAGAGCUGUUAUCAGACAGGUUUCAGGACAGAUGAUCUCUCUCUAGGUUCAGUAGAGCUGUUAUCAGACAGGUUUCAGGACAGAUGUUCUCUCUCUAGGGUCAGUAGAGCUGUUAUCAGACAGGUCUGGUUUCAGGACAGAUGAUCUCUCUCUAGGUUCAGCAGAGCUGUUAUCAGACAGGUUUCAGGACAGAUGUUCUCUCUCUAGGUUCAGUAGAGCUGUUAUCAGACAGGCUUCAGGACAGAUGAUCUCUCUCUAGGUUCAGUAGAGCUGUUAUCAGACAGGUUUCAGGACAGAUGAUCUCUCUAGGUUCAGUAGAGCUGUUAUCAGACAGGUUUCAGGACAGAUGAUCUCUCUCUCUAGGUUCAGUAGAGCUGUUAUCAGACAGGUCUGGUUUCAGGACAGAUGUUCUCUCUCUAGGUUCAGCAGAGCUGUUAUCAGACAGGUUUCAGGACAGAUGUUCUCUCUCUAGGGUCAGUAGAGCUGUUAUCAGACAGGUUUCAGGACAGAUGCUCUCUCUCUAGGUUCAGUAGAGCUGUUAUCAGACAGGUCUGGUUUCAGGACAGAUGUUCUCUCUCUAGGUUCAGCAGAGCUGUUAUCAGACAGGUUUCAGGACAGAUGUUCUCUCUCUAGGUUCAGUAGAGCUGUUAUCAGACAGGCUUCAGGACAGAUGAUCUCUCUCUAGGUUCAGUAGAGCUGUUAUCAGACAGGUUUCAGGACAGAUGAUCUCUCUCUAGGUUCAGUAGAGCUGUUAUCAGACAGGUUUCAGGACAGAUGAUCUCUCUCUCUAGGUUCAGUUGAGCUGUUAUCAGACAGGUCUGGUUUCAGGACAGAUGCUCUCUCUCUAGGUUCAGUAGAGCUGUUAUCAGACAGGUUUCAGGACAGAUGAUCUCUCUCUAGGUUCAGUAGAGCUGUUAUCAGACAGGUCUGGUUUCAGGACAGACUCUCUCUCUCUAGGGAUUUAAUACCUCUUCUCUGACCGAUGAGCUGAGAGAGCUGAGGUACCCGUUUUGAAGAGGGUGGUGAGCCUUAAACCAGCAGAAUUCCCUCAGAGCAGGUAGUGUGGGUGAUAAACCCUUUGAUGUGUUAUUGGCUGAUAUCAGAAGCCCUUAUAUGGCUGUUAGCCUCCAUUACUAUGGUGUCUUCGGUAAAGCAUGGGGACUCAACACAAACCAAAAUGCCCACACCAUCAGUAGUUGGGUUCAUUCUUGGCCGCUGUCACCAUUGUCCCCUCACCCGCAGUGUGGUCCAGUCAGUCUGCCUCCCACAGAGCCGGGUCCCAGUCAGUCUGCCUCCCACAGAGCCGGGUCCCAGUCAGUCUGCCUCCCACAGAGCCGGGUCCCAGUCAGUCUGCCUCCCACAGAGCCGGGUCCCAGUCAGUCUGCCUCCCACAGAGUCGGGUUCCAGUCAGUCUGCCUCCCACAGAGUCGGGUUCCAGUCAGUCUGCCUCCCACAGAGUCGGGUUCCAGUCAGUCUGCCUCCCACAGAGUCGGGUUCCAGUCAGUCUGCCUCCCACAGAGUCGGGUUCCAGUCAGUCUGCCUCCCACAGAGUCGGGUUCCAGUCAGUCUGCCUCCCACAGAGUCGGGUUCCAGUCAGUCUGCCUCCCACAGAGUUGGGUUCCAGUCAGUCUGCCUCCCACAGAGUUGGGUUCCAGUCAGUCUGCCUCCCACAGAGUUGGGUUCCAGUCGGUUCUUCUCAGGGAGGAACGUAGCCUUGGAGCAGUGGGCACAACUGACAACAACGUCUGUUGUUGUGGGACUGGGAACAUGAUGACGGGUGCUCAGACUCAAGGAUCUCUCUCAAAAAACAUCUCCUCGCUACUUAUCAAACAGCACUGGAGGAGAAGAUCUGAGGCUCUCCAUAACUUGGCCAGUAGAAAGGACCGGAGGAACUGGGGGUAAAGACUUGACAAAGAGACUGUCAGCAUAGUUCCUGAGCCUUCUCCUGACUCCUGUAUGUUUGUCUGACUAACAGGCUGGAGGGGAAGCAAUCAUUAUGAAGGGAACCUCGGCGAUGAUCACAACACACAGAGAUGCUUGUUAACUGAGGGUUAUGUCCCUGGCUGUCUGCCCAGUCUCUGGUCCCAGAGAACACUGUAGGUCCAUUGUUCCUUCCCACACAGGUGUCAACUAACCAACAUGGUUCGUCCUGGACAGCUUCUGAAAAGGCAAUCUAUUUACUAUAUAAACACCCUACUUUUUGACCAGGGCCCACAGGGUAGUGCAGGAAUAGGGGUCCAUUUGAGACACAUGCCUGAUUAUAUUCCCCCCUCUAUUCCCAGAGAACUGAAGGAAAACUCUUCAGACACCAGAUAAAGGUGGCCUGCCCGGGUCUUUGGCACCAACGGCUCCAAUGUGGCCUCUGAUUAACAAAUGGAAGGAGUCCCAGGCAGAGGUUGUGUCCCAAAUGACACCCUAUCCCCUGAGUUCCAUAUUCUCCUUUCAUAGGAGCCCUGGUCAAAAGUAGUGCACUAUUUAGGGAAUAUGGUGCCAUUUGGAACACAAGCAGAGUGAAGGCUCUAUUGAACUCUGAGACCUGGGUUAUGAAUGCCUUGUUCUGCUCUUCUCUAUGGAUAUCCCGUCUAGACAGGCCGGGUUAGAUGUCAUCCCGUCUAGACAGGCCGGGUUAGAUGUCAUCCCGUCUAGACAGGCCGGGGUAGAUGUCAUCCCGUCUAGACAGGCCGGGGUAGAUGUCACCCCGUCUAGAUGUCACCCCGUCUAGACAGACCGGGUUAGAUGUCACCCCGUCUAGAUGUCACCCCGUCUAGAUGUCACCCCGUCUAGAUGUCACCCCGUCUAGACAGGCCGGGUUAGAUGUCACCCCGUCUAGACAGGCCGGGUUAGAUGUCACCCCGUCUAGACAGGCCGGGUUAGAUGUCAUCCCGUCUAGAUGUCACCCCGUCUAGACAGGCCGGGUUAGAUGUCACCCCGUCUAGACAGGCCGGGUUAGAUGUCACCCCGUCUAGAUAGACCGGGUUAGAUGUCACCCCGUCUAGACAGGCCGGGUUAGAUGUCACCCCGUCUAGACAGGCCGGGUUAGAUGUCACCCCGUCUAGAUGUCACCCCGUCUAGACAG